UGUCUGUGUGAGAGGAGAAAGACGUGUGACCUUUGGUUGUUGAUUGCGUAGUCUGGUGGUUAAAUAUUUAUCUUGGACUGCAGGCCUGGGUGCUGUAGACGGAGAUUGUGACAGACGAACUGCAGAAGAAUUAUUUCAUGGGGAGAUGCCAGGACAUUGCCAGCCAAGGUGCCUAGAGAGAGAGAGAGAGUGAGAGAGAGAGAGAGAGAGAGAGAGAGAGAGAGAGUACUGUUGUGUGGAUUGAUCCCUUCUCUAAGGCGGAGAAAGAUAGACACUUAUUAGCAGACAGCCAGAGAGGUCCAGGCAGACGUGGUCACCUCAUUUCAAAGAUCCUGUGCAGGCCAUCAUCGGUGAUCCAGACAUUCAGAUGACAUGCAGCCACAGGUAUGCCUUUUACAAUACAGGAAACGGAAUAAAUAAAUACUGUAUAUCUAUAUCAUAUAUCUCUAUCACAUCUGCACUAACCACCACUAUUGCUGCUUACUGUUCAUAUUACUUAUGUCUUAUACCAUACUGUAUAUAUUCUAUUUAUCUAUUUUUAUAUUACCACUUUGCACAUACUCUGCACUCUUCUGAUUUUGCACUUCUGGUUAGAUGCUAACUGCAUUUCGUUGCCUCAGUACUUGUACUCUGUGCAAUGACAAUAAAGUUGAAUCUAAUCUAAUCUAAUCUAAAUACAGGGUUUAUGAAUCUACUUUAAUCUAGAGAUCUGUCCACUCCCUUCAACUAAUUGCUAAAGAAAAACCAUUACAGUUUUGGGCAUUGGGCAAAACACCAAAGUGUCCCUUGUAAUUAACUGACAGUGAUGUCAGUGAUACCUUUGAAAGCUUCCAAAACUGUUGUUUCUUCGACCAAAUUUGGCCGAAAACCUGCAGCGACAGACCAAGAUGUCCCAGCCUGAAUGAAAAAGGGAGCUAUUUAUGGCUUUUAGUCUUGUAUUUCCAUGCGAAUGCCUCAGUCCCUGAGCUUCACAAUGGCAUCUCGCUGAUUUUUACGAGAUACAGUUUCACACUCGGUGAGAAUCCCAGGAUCUUCCCAUGACCCCCACAGCUCCGGCGGCCCUGGUGCACAAACAUGCCGGAGUCAGGGGGGGGGGGGGGCGGCACCCAGGGAUGGACUGACAAGCGAGCGGUCGCCAUGACGACAAGGGGGGGGGGGCGUGACACAGAGCUCGGACAGAGCUCCCCUCUGAUGGUUGACGGGGGCGACCCCCUUCUGACCCCCACAGCCCAGGCAGCGCCUCUUGGCCUGGGAGGGCGAGGGAGAGUGCCCCCCCACCCCGAAUAGUCUUCUAAUGGGGCCAUAAUGAGCCGCUCCAGUUUCACCCCCCUGACUGCUUAGCCACAAUGGGGCCUUUCUCCUUUCGCCCUGGCUAAAGAGACGAUGGAGAGGCUGGAUCGCCUCUUCCUACCUUCACCACUUUAAAUAAAUUACAGCCUCACCAAAACCCUGGACACUAAGGGCCAAUUAGGCUCCAGAGAAAAGGAGACAAGCCUCACCUAAGGAAGGAGGAGAGAAGUGUGUGUUUGUGCUGUGCUCGUGUAACAAUUCAUUCUUUCUGUACGUGUCCUUAUUAGUCUCCUUCUCUUUAACCUGAGUUGAGGAGAUGAAGAGAUGAAGAGAUGAAGAGAUGUGGCCACCGAGGGGUCUGUUCUCUCCUGUAACUGUUGCUCUCGCUCUCUUGCUCAUCCUCAGCGGCAGGUGGAGGUGCACAACCAUCUAAAUGGCUCACGGAUCGUGUUCUCAGACGGGGGCCCUCAGGGUGGACACCCCCAGCAGCAGCAGCAGCAGCUGCUCACAGCUCCAGAGCUGACCCAGGAAGUAGUGGUGAUCUCCCCUGGUCUGCCCACCCCCCCUCUCAGCCCUUUCCGGAUGGUCCAGCCUCCCUCCACACAAGACCAGGCCAGUAGCAGCUUGAAGCAUAAUCACUCUG
ensembl:lncRNA